rnacentral:misc_RNA from 1 species
GUCGUAACAAGGUUUCCGUAGGUGAACCUGCGGAAGGAUCAUUACCACACCGAUCCAAGAUCUUUCUUAACCGUGAAGCGGUGGUCCCUUGGAAGCUGGCAGGCUCAACUGCGAUGGACUCGAUAACCUUGGGCCCGUCGCGUUGCCUGUUGGUGGACUGCCACCUAAAAUGUGCUGCUGUUGGUGACACUCCGGUGUUGCGGGACAGUGGUGCGACCCGUCAUUUUACGACGUCAACCGGUCUUGACCUAAUGAACUGAACCAAAAGGGCUCGACUGGACCUGAUGCACCUCGUGUGUGUCGGUUCUGGCAGCUUGACAAAAGUAAAUACCUUACAACUUUCAGCGAUGGAUGUCUAGGUUCCCA